rnacentral:tRNA from 1 species
GGCGGCGGUUGGCGGAGAGGUUACGCAGCGGAUUGCAAAUCCGUGAAGACCGGUUCGAUUCCGGUACCCGCCUCCA